rnacentral:misc_RNA from 1 species
GAUGAAGAACGCAGCGAAAUGCGAUAAGUAAUGUGAAUUGCAGAAUUCAGUGAAUCAUCGAAUCUUUGAACGCACAUUGCGCCCCUUGGUAUUCCGAGGGGCAUGCCUGUUCGAGCGUCAUUAUAACCCCUCAAGCUCAGCUUGGUGUUGGGGCCUGCUGCACUGGCAGCCCUUAAAAUCAGUGGCGGCGCCAUCUGGCUCUAAGCGUAGUAAUUCUUCUCGCUAUGGAGUCCUGGUGGAUGCUUGCCAUCAACCCCCAAUUUUUCUAUGGUUGACCUCGGAUCAGGUAGGGAUACGCGCUGAACUUAAGCAUAUCAAUAAGCGGAGGA